CUCUAAGUAGCUUAUCCAUAAAGCAUUGGCCUUUUAAGCCACCGAAGGACCCCACCAGUCCCCUAGAUC
rnacentral:tRNA from 1 species